UUGGAUAUCGACUUAAUGCGCUGUAGGACCGUUAGCAGAUAAGCAAGAUAUUGAUUUGGCUAUAUUCGAUACUUGCAUUGCUGCUUGUAUAGUCAAAAAAUAGCUUGCAUAGUUGGCUUAAAGAAUAUACGAUGCUGGAAAAAAGAGAUAUUGGCUAAAUUGAGAGUGUAGAGAGAACGUGAAAGAGGGGUGUUCACCUGCGAUAUCUUCUGUGAGCGCGAAAAAUGAAGUUUGCGUUUGGACUAAUGACCCUAUUCUAAAUAUUUCCGAAAUACAUGUCCUCUAGAAGUCAGCUGAUGUAACUAAUUCCUUCAAUUAAAGUUAUUCAGCCACCUUCCCGAAAUUAAGUUACUUCCUGAGGGGUUGCUUGAGGAAUUCCGAGUUGAAUGGAGAGCCCGAGGUUUUAAUGUUUCAACAGCAAAUCUCAAUAGAUUAUAUCAUUAAGCCUCCCCAAAGGCAGAGCGACAAACCAGCUAAACUACACUGUGAGAUCCAGUUGUCAACACUAAUUAGCCAUCUACCCGUAACGAUGCCAGAUGACUAUAAUAGUUGAAUUAGGUUGGUUUGUUCGCGAAUAUCGUCUUCGGAACCGUGACGGUCAGACAAAAUCCAGCAGUGAUGUCGAGUAUUAUUUGCAUCGAUUUGUAACGUUCGCUAGAGAUGAUCCACCUAUGUAGUUUGGUCGAUAGGCUACAUCGUCGUAGAUCGUGAACGUAGAUAUCCUGUCGCUCUUACUUCUAUUCCGUCGAUUUAUAAUAUAUCUUGUUACCUGAUUUUUACUGGUAAAGUCGGAGUUUGAUCAAUUCGAAGUCGCUACUUAUCUGAUGGUCUUAGGCAAUUUUGAGUUUGGGCAAUCAGUAUUCGCAUGCCAUUCUAAUAGUUGAAUGCAGUAACAACAAGUUGUAUCAUGUCAAAGAAGUUAAAACAAAGAAUAAAGUAUUAACCUUUGACUCAAACCUUAAUAAACACUAAAUCUUCCUUUUGCUCUUUGCUGGAAGUAAUACGUACCAUUUAAUUCAAGUUAAUUUCUUUCCUUAUUUUCUUUUCUUAUUAUCAUUUAUUUUUUCGAGUUGCCAAAAUCUCGGCCGAUAUUUGAUUUUACCUAUGAUUAGGACUAAGCGCUUGCACUAUCCUACUUACUUAAAUAAGGCGAAAUGCCGGAUAUAAAGGUCUUGUGUUCAUCUUAUGUGAGAAACUUCCUAACACGCGUAUUUCCAUUCGUACAUAGCCAACAAUUCAAAAUAGUCCUUCCUAUAUUUCUAAACUGUAAAAUAUACAUACACAAU